rnacentral:rRNA from 1 species
GGGGAAUAUUGCACAAUGGGCGAAAGCCUGAUGCAGCAACGCCGCGUGAGUGAUGAAGGCCUUCGGGUUGUAAAGCUCUGUCUUUUGGGACGAUAAUGACGGUACCAAAGGAGGAAGCCACGGCUAACUACGUGCCAGCAGCCGCGGUAAUACGUAGGUGGCAAGCGUUGUCCGGAAUUACUGGGCGUAAAGAAUGCGUAGGUGGAUAUGCAAGUCAGAUGUGAAAUACCCGGGCUCAACUUGGGUGCUGCAUUUGAAACUAUAUAUCUAGAGUGCAGGAGAGGAAAGCGGAAUUCCUAGUGUAGAGGUGAAAUGCGUAGAGAUUAGGAAGAACACCAGUGGCGAAGGCGGCUUUCUGGACUGUAACUGACACUGAGGCAUGAAAGCGUGGGGAGCAAAC